UGGGGAAUAUUGGACAAUGGGCGAAAGCCUGAUCCAGCCAUGCCGCGUGUGUGAAGAAGGCCUUUUGGUUGUAAAGCACUUUAAGUGGGGAGGAAAAGCUUAUGGUUAAUACCCAUAAGCCCUGACGUUACCCACAGAAUAAGCACCGGCUAACUCUGUGCCAGCAGCCGCGGUAAUACAGAGGGUGCAAGCGUUAAUCGGAAUUACUGGGCGUAAAGCGCGCGUAGGUGGUUAUUUAAGUCAGAUGUGAAAGCCCCGGGCUUAACCUGGGAACUGCAUCUGAUACUGGAUAACUAGAGUAGGUGAGAGGGGAGUAGAAUUCCAGGUGUAGCGGUGAAAUGCGUAGAGAUCUGGAGGAAUACCGAUGGCGAAGGCAGCUCCCUGGCAUCAUACUGACACUGAGGUGCGAAAGCGUGGGUAGCAAACAGGAUUAGAUACCCUGGUAGUCCACGCCGUAACGAUGUCUACCAGUCGUUGGGUCUUUUAAAGACUUAGUGACGCAGUUAACGCAAUAAGUAGACCGCCUGGGGAAUACGGCCGCAAGGUUA
rnacentral:rRNA from 1 species